rnacentral:rRNA from 1 species
GACAAACCGGAGGAAGGUGGGGAUGACGUCAAAUCAUCAUGCCCCUUAUGAUUUGGGCUACACACGUGCUACAAUGGACAAUACAAAGGGCAGCGAAACCGCGAGGUCAAGCAAAUCCCAUAAAGUUGUUCUCAGUUCGGAUUGUAGUCUGCAACUCGACUACAUGAAGCUGGAAUCGCUAGUAAUCGUAGAUCAGCAUGCUACGGUGAAUACGUUCCCGGGUCUUGUACACACCGCCCGUCACACCACGAGAGUUUGUAACACCCGAAGCCGGUGGAGUAACCUUUUAGGAGCUAGCCGUCGAAGGUGGGACAAAUGAUUGGGGUGAAGUCGUAACAAGGUAGCCGUAUCGGAAGGUGCGGCUGGAUCACCUCCUUU